AGAGUUUGAUCCUGGCUCAGGAUGAACGCUAGCGGCAGGCCUAAUACAUGCAAGUCGAGGGAGAUUGUUGGAUUCGUCUGACAUGAAACCGGCGCACGGGUGCGUAACACGUAUGCAACCUACCUUUAACUGGGGUAUAGCUCAGAGAAAUCUGAAUUAAUCCCCCAUAAGACUACGACAUGGCAUCAUGAUGUAGUUAAAGCUCCGGCGGUUAAGGAUGGGCAUGCGGUACAUUAGCUAGUUGGUGAGGUAAUGGCUCACCAAGGCUACGAUGUAUAGGGGGUCUGAGAGGAUGAUCCCCCACACUGGUACUGAGACACGGACCAGACUCCUACGGGAGGCAGCAGUAGGGAAUAUUGGUCAAUGGACGCAAGUCUGAACCAGCCAUGCCGCGUGAAGGAUGAAGGCCCUCUGGGUCGUAAACUUCUUUUAUUAGGGAAGAAAACAUGGGAUGCGUCCCAAACUGACGGUACUUAAUGAAUA
rnacentral:rRNA from 1 species